rnacentral:rRNA from 1 species
GGGUGAGUAACACGUGGGUGAUCUGCCUUGCACUUCGGGAUAAGCUUGGGAAACUGGGUCUAAUACCGGAUAGGACAGCUGUUUAGUGUCAGUUGUGGAAAGUUUUUCGGUGCAAGAUGAGCUCGCGGCCUAUCAGCUUGUUGGUGGGGUAAUGGCCUACCAAGGCGUCGACGGGUAGCCGGCCUGAGAGGGUGGACGGCCACAUUGGGACUGAGAUACGGCCCAG